AAUAUAUGCAAGGAGUAAUCGUAAUAUUUGCCACUUUUUGAGUUGGAUUUAGAGUCUCAAAUCCAAAAAAGGCUCACUCUUCAGCGGAAAUUCUGUUUAGCGACUUCCGUCCCAUAAAAGCAUUCGAUUUAACGGUGUCACAUAGGAAUUUCAAUUUGGGCCCGAUGGGUUUCUCAUCGAUUACGUUUGAUGUGCUCCGAACUGAGGAUGAACUACAAACCCAAAAGGGAGACAAGACGACCCAACUUUUCGAUGGGGCAGUUUGAUACUGAUGUUGGUUUUCCACAAUUGUGUAUUGAAUUAACGUCCUGCAUUGUAAGUCUUCCAACCAAGGCACCCAUUAAUCAACUACCGCUAUGAAACAAAUGACAAUGAGACUACGAUUGGAAUGUUGUCCGUUUACAUACAUACCUCGCCACCUUCGCAUUCGCACAACAUAUCAACGUCUACACUGACUGGGUAGUUAUUGUAUCAGCCAAAUUGUACAACAAUACGAUUCAUACCCCACAGUUUAUUCGCCCAAGACCACAUAUAAAUACGUUUUCGUAGCACACUCAGAAAACCGGAACUGCAUGUGUGAAACAUGUCCGAUACAUUUAAUAACGCAGCCAAUCACACAAAUUACUUUUGACUUCCAUCUCAACAGUGCCAAAAAAGCAUAAGGUUUGGAGUCCCCAAUUAGACAUAAGGUAGACUUGAAAUUUGAUUAAUGUACACAAAAAUACGAUGCAUAACUGAAUAAAU